rnacentral:rRNA from 1 species
GACAGAGGGUGCAAGCGUUGUUCGGAAUUAUUGGGCGUAAAGGGCGCGUAGGUGGUUUUGUAAGUCGGGCGUGAAAUCCCAGGGCUUAACUCUGGAAGUGCCUCCGAAACUGCAAGACUGGAGUCCCCGAGAGGGUGGUGGAAUUCCCAGUGUAGAGGUGAAAUUCGUAGAUAUUGGGAGGAACACCUGUGGCGAAGGCGGCCACCUGGCAGGUGACUGACACUGAGGCGCGAAAGCGUGGGU